rnacentral:rRNA from 1 species
CUGCAUUAGCUAGUUGGUAAGGUAACGGCUUACCAAGGCAACGAUGCAUAGCCGACCUGAGAGGGUGAUCGGCCACACUGGAACUGAGACACGGUCCAGACUCCUACGGGAGGCAGCAGUAGGGAAUCUUCCGCAAUGGGCGAAAGCCUGACGGAGCAACGCCGCGUGAGUGAUGAAGGUCUUCGGAUCGUAAAACUCUGUUAUUAGGGAAGAACAUAUGUGUAAGUAACUGUGCACAUCUUGA